rnacentral:rRNA from 1 species
AACGUAGGGUGCAAGCGUUGUCCGGAAUUACUGGGUGUAAAGGGAGCGCAGGCGGACCGGUAAGUUGGAAGUGAAAACUAUGGGCUCAACCCAUAAAUUGCUUUCAAAACUGCUGGCCUUGAGUAGUGCAGAGGUAGGUGGAAUUCCCGGUGUAGCGGUGGAAUGCGUAGAUAUCGGGAGGAACACCAGUGGCGAAGGCGACCUACUGGGCACCAACUGACGCUGAGGCUCGAAAGCAUGGGUAGCAAACAGG